CUAAUACAUGCAAGUCGAACGCGCAGCGAAAGGUGCUUGCACCUUUCAAGCGAGUGGCGAACGGGUGAGUAACACGUGGAUAACCUGCCUCAAGGCUGGGGAUAACAUUUGGAAACAGAUGCUAAUACCGAAUAAAACUUAGUAUCGCAUGAUACAAAGUUGAAAGGCGCUACGGCGUCACCUAGAGAUGGGUCCGCGGUGCAUUAGUUAGUUGGUGGGGUAAAGGCCUACCAAGACAAUGAUGCAUAGCCGAGUUGAGAGACUGAUCGGCCACAUUGGGACUGAGACACGGCCCAAACUCCUACGGGAGGCUGCAGUAGGGAAUCUUCCACAAUGGGCGAAAGCCUGAUGGAGCAACGCCGCGUGUGUGAUGAAGGCUUUAGGGUCGUAAAGCACUGUUGUAUGGGAAGAAAUGCUAGAAUAGGGAAUGAUUCUAGUUCGACGGUACCAUACCAGAAAGGGACGGCUAAAUACGUGCCAGCAGCCGCGGUAAUACGUAUGUCCCGAGCGUUAUCCGGAUUUAUUGGGCGUAAAGCGAGCGCAGACGGUUGAUUAAGUCUGAUGUGAAAGCCCGGAGCUCAACUCCGGAAUGGCAUUGGAAACUGGUUAACUUGAGUGUUGUAGAGGUAAGUGGAACUCCAUGUGUAGCGGUGGAAUGCGUAGAUAUAUGGAAGAACACCAGUGGCGAAGGCGGCUUACUGGACAACAACUGACGUUGAGGCUCGAAAGUGUG
rnacentral:rRNA from 1 species